rnacentral:tRNA from 2 species
AAUGAAGUGCCUGAAUAAAGGAUUAUUUUGAUAGAAUAAAUCAUGCAUAAUAUGCCUUCAUUA